rnacentral:rRNA from 1 species
CCUACGGGAGGCAGCAGUGAGGAAUAUUGGUCAAUGGGCGGAAGCCUGAACCAGCCAAGUCGCGUGAGGGAUUAAGGCCCUAUGGGUCGUAAACCUCUUUUGUCAGGGAGCAAUGGCGUCCACGUGUGGGCGUAUGGAGAGUACCUGAAGAAAAAGCAUCGGCUAACUCCGUGCCAGCAGCCGCGGUAAUCCGGAGGAUGCGAGCGUUAUCCGGAUUUAUUGGGUUUAAAGGGAGCGUAGGUGGAUUGUUAAGUCAGUUGUGAAAGUUUGCGGCUCAACCGUAAAAUUGCAGUUGAAACUGGCAGUCUUGAGUACAGUAGAGGUGGGCGGAAUUCGUGGUGUAGCGGUGAAAUGCUUAGAUAUCACGAAGAACUCCGAUUGCGAAGGCAGCUCACUGGACUGCAACUGACACUGAGGCUCGAAAGUGUGGGUAUCAAACAGGAUUAGAUACCCGUGUAGUC